GGGGAAUAUUGGGCAAUGGGGGGAACCCUGACCCAGCAACGCCGCGUGGAGGAAGAAGGUUUUCGGAUCGUAAACUCCUGUCCUUGGAGACGAGUAGAAGACGGUAUCCAAGGAGGAAGCCCCGGCUAACUACGUGCCAGCAGCCGCGGUAAUACGUAGGGGGCAAGCGUUGUCCGGAAUAAUUGGGCGUAAAGGGCGCGUAGGCGGCUCGGUAAGUCUGGAGUGAAAGUCCUGCUUUUAAGGUGGGAAUUGCUUUGGAUACUGUCGGGGUUGAGUGCAGGAGAGGUUAGUGGAAUUCCCAGUGUAGCGGUGAAAUGCGUAGAGAUUGGGAGGAACACCAGUGGCGAAGGCGACUAACUGGACUGUAACUGACGCUGAGGCGCGAAAGUGUGGGGAGCAAACAGGAUUAGAUACCCUGGUAGUCCACACUGUAAACGAUGAAUGCUAGGUGUAGGGGGUAUCGACCCCUUCUGUGCCGCAGUCAACACAAUAAGCAUUCCGCCUGGGGAGUACGGCCGCAAGGUUGAAACUCAAAGGAAUUGACGGGGGCCCGCACAAGCAGCGGAGCAUGUGGUUUAAUUCGACGCAACGCGAAGAACCUUACCAGGUCUUGACAUCCACUUAAACUUACAGAGAUGUAAGGUGUGCUUGCACAAAGUGAGACAGGUGGUGCAUGGUUGUCGUCAGCUCGUGUCGUGAGAUGUUGGGUUAAGUCCCGCAACGAGCGCAACCCUUAUCUUCAGUUACUAACGCGUAGAGGUGAGGACUCUGAAGAGACUGCCGGGGACAACUCGGAGGAAGGUGGGGACGACGUCAAAUCAUCAUGCCCUUUAUGACCUGGGCUACACACGUACUACAAUGGCGUUUAACAAAGAGAAGCAAGACCGCGAGGUGGAGCAAAACUCAAAAACAACGUCUCAGUUCAGAUUGCAGGCUGCAACUCGCCUGCAUGAAGUCGGAAUUGCUAGUAAUCGCGGAUCAGCAUGCCGCGGUGAAUACGUUCCCG
rnacentral:rRNA from 1 species